ACCACCAAACAGCUAAAAGAGCAAAUGAGAGCAGGUAAACGGAUUCCGCACAAAGACGUAAACACAAAGCACAGAUCGUUCACCCAAGAGCACAUACACAGACUGUCAGAGUGAUUUGGUUAAAAGUUGUGAUUGUUGUGUUUAAAUUUGUAAACCUUGUUUUAAACUGCAUGGUCAAAUGCAUUUUUCUGUUUCUAUUCACCUCCCCUACAUGUAGAAUGGCGGGGGAAGCUAUAGUGUUUAACUGCAGACACAUUCCAUUUAAGAUUCUGGUUUCCUUCUUUGGUAAGGAAUGUUUACUUCCUGCCACUUAUGGGCUCACCUGUGUUUGUAUAUGGUGGUCCAUUAAAGGAGUUGAGCCAUAUACAGGAGUGAGGGGAGAUGACCCUUUUAUGACCAGCAGGAAGUCAUGUAUACACACACACACACACACACACACACACACACACACACACACACACACACACACACAUGCUCGCACAUGUAUGCACACACACACAGUGCUUUAACUUUUAUGACACCAUAUGGGGUUUUACAAUGGGGGUGCUUGUGUGUUCACUGACUAAAGGCUGCGAGGGGACACUGGUUUUUUGGUGUUGUUUGAGUGCAGGUGCAGAGCUUGCUGCUCUGUGAUUCCGACCGGGCUCCCCUUGCAAGUUAAAAUGGAUUGAUCUCUGAUUGUCUUGCUUCGUUCACAGUGAUAAGGCUCUGAACCAGUGAGGACUGCGAGUGCACACCUAACAGAGACACACUGAUAAACAAAGGAAUGUUUACUUCCUGCCUUUAUAGGCUCACCUGUGCUUGUAUAUGGUGGACCGUUAAAGGAGUUGAGCCAUAUACAGGGGUGAGGGGAGUUGACACACGUGCUCGCACAUGCAUAUACACACACAUACAGUGCCUUAGCUUACACACAACAGGGGUGUUACAAUGGGGGGUUGUGUAACUGUUUGUCACUGAAUAAAAGGCUGCAAGGGGACGCUGGUUUUUUGAAGUUGAAUGGGAUCAGGUGAGGAGCUUUCAGCUCCAAGAGCCAACCAGACUUCCCUUGAGCAGCAAGUAAAAACCGACUGAGAGGAAUUGUCUUGCUUUGUUCACGGGAGUGAGUCUUUGAGUCAAGAGGCCUGCAAGCGCAGACCUAACAUUUUCAUUAUUGUAACUAUCAGAGGAAAUGGAGCAAUUUUGUAUGUACUUUAAACUGAAACUAUAUUCUUAAUAACCCUGAAUGUAUUUCUUAUGCAAAAUUUAAAGGGAAAAUAAAUAUAUUUUUAACUGAAUAAAACCAACCUUACUUAUGACUGAAAUUUGCAGACACGAAUAAACUUUCCAAUCUGUUUAGUUUAAAUGUUAGUAGUAUUUACUGAAAAAAUUACAUUACUGAAGUACUGGAUCAAAAUUAAACAGUCUCACCACAGUUUAGUGUAUCAUAUAAAACAGUGCUCUCUGUCUUGUAACUCCUCCUACAUAACACUUAUUUCAAAUGACCCUCUUAGCUUUGAGCAGUCACACUAUGAUUUCUGCAUCUUCGGUUUCAACUCCUUUCCUGACCCUUUCAGCAGAAGUAAUUCAUUCAUCUGUCAUUUAUUUUUCAUGGAAGUAACACAAUGAACUGGAUAAUUAGUGCUACAAUAUCCUUGUUAGGGUUAAAUAUUGCUCUUGGUUUCAAUAUUGAUCCCGUGGCUUGGAAGACCUUGAGGAGCUCUGCUGCUGGUUUUGGCUACCAGGUGGUUCAAAGACAAUCAGAUUUGCUCGUCAGUGCCCCAUUUGAACAGUAUUCACAAAAUGGAAGAGGGAAAAUAUAUAUUUGCACCACUUCUCACCCAAGCUGCCAAAAUAUAAAAUUUGAAGCACCAAGAUUUGCAGUCAACAUGU